rnacentral:rRNA from 1 species
UACGGAAGGCAGCAGUGGGGAAUAUUGCACAAUGGGCGCAAGCCUGAUGCAGCCAUGCCGCGUGUAUGAAGAAGGCCUUCGGGUUGUAAAGUACUUUCAGUCGUGAGGAAGGUGUUAAGGUUAAUAACCUUAGCAAUUGACGUUAGCGACAGAAGAAGCACCGGCUAACUCCGUGCCAGCAGCCGCGGUAAUACGGAGGGUGCGAGCGUUAAUCGGAAUUACUGGGCGUAAAGGGCACGCAGGCGGUUAAUUAAGUUGGAUGUGAAAUCCCCGGGCUUAACCUGGGAAUGGCAUUCAAGACUGGUUAGCUAGAGUCUUGUAGAGGGGGUUAGAAUUCCAUGUGUAGCGGUGAAAUGCGUAGAGAUGUGGAGGAAUCCGGUGGCGAAGGCGGCCCCUGGGACAAAGACUGACGCUCAUGUGCGAAAGCGUGGGGAGCAAACAGGAUUAGAUACC